rnacentral:rRNA from 1 species
AGUGAACGCUGGCGGUAGGCCUAACACAUGCAAGUCGAACGGCAGCACAGUAAGAGCUUGCUCUUACGAGUGGCGAGUGGCGGACGGGUGAGGAAUACAUCGGAAUCUACUUUUUCGUGGGGGAUAACGUAGGGAAACUUACGCUAAUACCGCAUACGACCUACGGGUGAAAGCAGGGGAUCUUCGGACCUUGCGCGAUUGAAUGAGCCGAUGUCGGAUUAGCUAGUUGGCGGGGUAAAGGCCCACCAAGGCGACGAUCCGUAGCUGGUCUGAGAGGAUGAUCAGCCACACUGGAACUGAGACACGGCCCAGACUCCUACGGGAGGCAGCAGUGGGGAAUAUUGGACAAUGGGCGCAAGCCUGAUCCAGCCAUACCGCGUGGGUGAAGAAGGCCUUCGGGUUGUAAAGCCCUUUUGUUGGGAAAGAAAAGCAGCAGGUUAAUACCCCGCUGUUCUGACGGUACCCAAAGAAUAAGCACCGGCUAACUUCGUG